AGACAGCUCACCCUUCAGUUGCGAGGGGAGGCGGACUGCCCACAUUGGCUGUCCCAGCACUAACCCCUCCAGUGAUACUUAGCAGCCCUGUACUCCUGCCAGAAUGUCACCAGAAGAAGAUUGAUUGCCUCUUAAUAAUGUUUCUCAUAAGUUUCACCAAUCUGGGUCUUUUUCCAGUCCCUAGGUUCUCAGCACUUGACCCUCACAACGUGGCAUUCCUUCAGGCUCUGGCCUGACAAAACCAUGGAGUCCCCAGGAGAACCAGAUGUUCGGUCACUGCUGUAAGAAUGUGAGACUGAGAGGUCUACGAACACUCACUGAAUCUCGACAACCACAAACACCCAAUUCAGGGCACCGGAGCCUCUUCCCCAACCUUAGGGAUGAUAAAACCAAGACUUGGAGAGAGUUUGAGUUACCUGCCCAUGUUCAUAUAGCUGGUGUAUAAUUUUUCACCUGAGCACAGUUGCCAAGCGCCGGCAAGAUGCCCUGGUAAAAAACCCACACCUCGCAGUCUGCAGCCGCCCUGCCUGUCCCCUUAGUCCCAGCCAUUCUAUCAUCCUGCAUGGAACUGCCUGGAGCUGUUUGUUGAACUGCUUCAUGUUACUCUUUGACUGAGAGAGAGACAAAUGUUCCAUAUUAUCUUUAAUUUCCAUAAAAUUGUUUUAAUCUUUGCUUUAUAAUAAAUGUAUAACGGUGCCCUCGGGGGAUCUCUGUUUUGUAUUAUAGGUGUCUCCAUUGGAGUUAUGUAUGAGAUAGAACUGCUCGGCAUUUGCCUUUCACCCAAAGGACUCGAAAGAGACUUGGAAACAAAAGAUUCCUCUGGGAAUCAUCCAUAAGCAUAAAAUGGAAAAUUUCCUUUCCCCCAAUAUGCCUCAUCCAGCCUCCCGAUGAUUAUCAGCCAGAUCAGAUCAGGAACAUAAGCAGUAGGAACUGAAAGGGAUUUGCCUUCUUUCUGACUGCACCAGCUUAGGGUGUAAUAUUUAUAUAUAUGCAUAUCUAUAUAUAUCAUUAUAAAUACAUAAUAUAUAAAAGCGUAGUCAUAGAGUAUAUUUAAUUAAAGAAACGGAAAGCCUCCACCAACCUGUCAGUUUUUAACUUUUUAGCUCCAGUGGCUUCUUAAUAUACCAGCUUGAUGAAAAAGAAGCGAGGGGGUGAGAAUGAGGAAGGUCCCAUGAAUACAUUUUUUGACAUUUUGUUUAUUAUCAUUUUAUCUAGGCUAGUAGCAAAUGGAUGGACUUGUCAGCAGGAAUCUCUUGGUGAAGUAAAUAAAGAAUCUUAAUAGGCAGGGAGGAUAGAACUAACGGCAAAUUGCUCACAAAGAGAUCUAAUUUAUUGGUUUCUUUUUCACUGAGAUUCUGUUCUGGAUUCUGGCUUUGCCAGAAGAAACAGCUGAAUGAUGACAUGGAUCCAUACACAGAGAAAGUGCUCUAUCUGGUAGAAAAGGAGAAACUGCGGAAAGAUUCUCUCUGUGGCCUUACCCCAGCUUCUUUCGAAAGUUGACUAGCUGCCUUAUUACUGCCAUGGCAUCUCUAUGUAAAGCUGAAGCCUGGAAGAUCGCCUCUAUUUUUAUUUUCUGGUCUCUGUUAAUAAGCCCAUGCUGUAUUCAUGAAAGAAAAAUAUUAAAUGUGGCCACACCAGUUAUAAUAUUAUGACUAUUUGGGUUUAAGUAUAAUAAAGAUACCAACAAGGGCUCCUCAGUUAUUAAUAUUUUUCCAGGUUAAAAAGCAGCAAUAAAUCAUAAAGAGCAUUUCCAAGCAGUAGCACUUUUAUAGAAAAUUGCUUGCUAUUUAAACAAAAUAUUUGCUCUUCAUCUCAGGAAAAUAUGUGGAUGCUUCUGAACAAGGAGCUAUUUUACCUACCCUCUGCCUCCUAUAAUUAGCCCCAUCCUACUUAAAAACAAUUUUUUUUAAUUUGCUUGCCUGGAUCACAGGAAAAUGGGGCUCAAGUUUGUUUUGGCCAAAUGAGCAGUUUCUUCAUUAGUAGCCUAUGUUUUUCCAAAGGGUAAGGUUCUGAAUUUAAAUGUUUGUUUUUUCUGUAUCCUUCCUUCUGAGAGGGCUGGAGACCUCUGUGUGGCUCUCUUCUGGGCAGGAACGACUAAGAUAAACAGGAAGUUUUGAUCCAGUAGACAUGGGUAGCGUUUUCUCUCUGCCACUUGUGAGUAUAGAAUUUAUUUCACUUAUGCAUGUAGGAAAAUACCUCUCCAACGAACCCUGAACCUAGAGGUCUGCUCAGGAUGGGGCCAUUUAUCUCCAAAAGUUGGAUUAUUUACAUAUUUGGGCAGAGGUUGAAAGGAGAUGGUCACACAGAUAUUAAUCUACUUUUCUCCACUUUUGGAUUACACUUUCAUGUUAACAGGAAGUAAAGGAUAUUUUGGGCUCUCGUGUAGUGCUCAUAUGACCUUCUCCACUUCAGUAUAGUCUCUUAAAGAGGCCAAAAAAAUUGACUGACUCUGUCUCACUGAUCAUAUCGCUAAUGAUAGCGUAUUGUUUAUUCACUUACACUGGAAAGAAAACGUAUCGUGAAUAUCUGCUUAAAUAUUUCGUUUGGCCAAAAGUAACUCUGUAAUGGCAUAUGGGAUCAAUCCAGAGGUGAAAAACAAACUCACCCACCAUAGUCUAGGUAGAUUGCAGUCCAAUUUCAUAUUCUAAGUUAAACAUGUUUUUCUCUCUUGAAAAUAAGUUCCUAAAAAGAGUUCCUAACAUUCUAAGAAAUGAUUGUAAAUCUACCAAGUUAAUUUAUGAACCAAUAAAGUCCUGUCAAGUCUCCUUCUCAUCUUCUGGAAAACAGGUCUGCAGUGAGGGAAAAAGACCAGCUAGUUACUAAGGAAAUAUAUUCUUGCUUCUUGUAUAUUCCUCUUAAGCCUUGCUUCGGAGUCAGCUUCUGUGCACUAUAGAAUAUGGAAAUCCUUCCAAACACAGAAAGUAUUUGGGGCGAUAAUGGUCUACAUUGUUAGACAGUAAGGCUUUAAGGAAAUUAACAAUAAAUGCAUCAUUAUUAUAUCCAAACUGCCAUCAGAUUAAAUUCAAAACUCUAAAUGAAAAGCUGAGGCAUUCGGUUCCUUAGACACAUAACAUAAAAUCAAGGCUGUUAAGAAGAGACAGUAUUUAAGAUGUCUCCCUCCCUUUUCUCCUCAGUAAACACCUUGUAAAUUUGUCUGAAAAUUUCAGAUUUUGCAUUAAUUGAGACUCCUUGCCUGUUCAGUUGAGUUUUGGUGUGAAAAUACAUCAAAUCAUAACAUACAGAAAGCUGCUCUCUCAAGCCACAUUUCAUAACAUGAUUUCAUCAGAUGGUCUUAAUUUUCUGCAUGACAUUAUCUUUUCAAGCUGACAUAAGACUGGGCUGUGAUAUUUGCAUACUCAAGACAGAACCAUGUAGCUUAACUAUGUUUCUGCUUUUGUGGGAAUUUGGGGCAUUUUUACUUUGAGGAAUAAAACAAAUAAACCUUCCAAAAAGAAUUUUUCCUCUACUUUUUGAAUGACUUUGUUCUUGCCUUUUAAUGAAAGAGACACUCUAAGCUAUUUUAAAUGAUGCUGUAGUGCCAAGCCAGUUGUCUCAAUACAUGUGAGAUGUACAUAUACUUUCUCUUGAAGGUCUCUGAAGCCCAGACCAAUUAGUCAAGGAGUCAAGGCUAUUUUAGUUGACUAGUAUCCAUAUAAUUGUAAAUGUACAA
rnacentral:lncRNA from 1 species